ACCAGUUUAUUAAGCAUGAGCACAAUAAUUCACUAUACUAUAAUUAUGCAAUUAAAUAAGAUUCGAGUAUUGCCGGCUGACCUAUAUGCACUCGUUUAUUUUCAUGUUUCUUGUGUUUUUCUAUUCUGUAAAUAUAGAUAUCUGAGUAAUAAUAUCACAUAAAGCAAAUUUAACCACGAAAUCUUACGCAACACCCCGUUAUUGAUUUGCUUGUGAUGUAGCUAAGAACUGCGCAGAAAAAAGGCAUCCGCUACUUUUUAUCUCAUAGAGAUAACUUUUGAUCGUCCAUAAACAUCGACCACAAUCAACGCCGUAUAUCUUUUUUAAAGAUAUUUCUUGUUUAAGGUAUUAGCACUCUAAUGAACUUCGUGCAAUAUCGCAUUCUUUCUUACAUAUCCGUCACUCCGAACGCUGGACUGUGCGGAAAACUAAGAAUAUUCUAUAAAUACGCUAUGAAAUACUAAAUGUAGGACCCGCUAAAUACAAAGACAAGAAAUAUGGCCGACAUUGUACCUGACAGAUUGGGUCGUUUAAAGAAAAAGCAAUUUGCUGUAUUGAAAGAGAACAAUUAAUAAAAGUGUUAUUAUUGUUCAUAUUAAUGUGACUGUAGUUAAUGAUAAACGUCAACUAAUGCAUGGCAGUGUUGAUAUUUAUGAAGAAAACGAUUCCUGGAAAUACAAAUGUCAAACGAUUGAAAAUUUCGACCACUGUGAAGAAUAACGUUUAGAACCCGUGUCAUUUACACAAUUUAAUAUGUUCUUGAGCAGUAAAAGGGGAUAAAGUGGAUUUAUGAUUGUGUGAUGACUGUAGCCAUGGUUAUCGUACGGCAAAAACACAUCACGUUAGAAGAGUCUUCAACUUUUCAAGAAAGGAAUGCCUUGUUGUGCUAUCAACACAAAGCUCGGAACAGGAAGGUACAUGGAUUACAGUAUGCAAUAUUGUUUUCAAGUAUAACAGUUUCAUUAUUCAUAAUUGGAGUUCAUGCGAGAAUAAGUUCCUCACUGUACGGUCUCUAACUACCGUUUCGCGGAGUUUGUCUAAACAAGAGCAACUUGUUUGCCAUUAAUAAUAGUUUUACUUUGAGCUUUAAUACAUGUAAAAAUAUAUUAUUGAAUCAAAAUUGUUAAGCAUUGGCUACGGCAUAGUUUUUAUUGUUAACAUAUUCAUGCGAGAAUAAGUUGCUCACUUGACGGUCUCUAACUACCGUUUCGCGGACUUUGUCAAAACAAUAACAACUUUUUUGCCAUUAACUUUGAACUAUAAUCUAAACCAAUAAAAAUAAUUCAGUGGAACUUUAAUUUUCCGUAUUUUCUCUUGAUUUUUACAUGGUUUAAAUUAACCUCAGUUUUAAUAACAAUGAAUACAGUAGGGCACAGUCCGUCAGUUGACAGUGACAAUUUUCGGAUAAACUUCCUGGUUUUUGUCAAAGGGGCAGAACCUACUACCUGGUAGUUUCAAUGAUGAACUAUCAUGAUAUAGGGCUAAAAGAUGGAUGUGCCAAAUCCACCUCAUGAAAAACAGAUUGGGCAAAAGUGGAGUGCGAACACAAAAUGAUGUGCUGCUAAAUAGCAGAUCUUUACAAGUGAAUUAGGCAAAUCCUGAUGCAACCUGAGCUUACCAAGUUUACUGACAGUUUGGACUCUGUGUGGAUGAUAAUAUGGACAAUAUAUUGUGUUCAUGUUGUUUUGUGAUUGACAUUUUUUAACAGAUAAGAUUUUUUAAUCCAGACUUAACAGGUGAUUUUUCUUCAAAGAAUAAAUACAUUACUUUUUUAUUGAUGUGCAUGAAUUUGAGUACAAAAUAUCAACAAUGUGUAUCUUGUGUUGUUUUCCAAUCAGUCUGUCAUCCAUAGGUAAUAUAUUAAGUAUGAGAAGGGAAUAUUUUAUUUUUACAUUUUUGUUGUUUCUGCACACCAUGUCAGAUACAUGAAAAUAUAUUUUAUGCCCCCAACGGGCGGCAUAUGGUUUUCGCACUGUCCAUCUGUCAGUCUGUCUGUCCUCCGUAACACGUUUUGUGUUCACUCUCUAAUUCAAGUAGUUCUAAUCCUAUCUCCAAACUUGGUCAGAAGUUGCAUCCGAAUAAUGUAUAGGUCAAGACGAACAUGGGUCAUGCUGGGUCAAAAACUAUGUCAUAGGGUCACUUAGUGCGUUUCAAACAUUCAGCAUGGUGUCCGCUCUCUAAUUCAAGUAGUUUUCAUCCGAUCUUUCCCAAACUCUGUCAGAAGUUGUAUCUACAUAAUGUCUACGCCAAGUGUGAACAUGGGGCAUGCCGGGCAAAAAAACUAGUUCACUGGGUCACUAAGUGCGUUUUAAACAUUCAGCUUGGUGUCCGCUCUCUAAUUCAAGUAGUUUUCAUCUGAUCUUCACCAAACAUCUUCACAAGUUUUAUCUAGAUGGUCUCUAGGCCAAGUUCGAACAUGCAUGCAAAGAAUUGGCAGAAAAAAAACAUCUACAAACUGCAGCAGAUGACAUAUGUAACAAACAAAAUAAAAAUAUUGAACACCUGUUAUGUAGCAAACUAAUAGUUAAAUAAAAUAAAGGCGAUGUAUAUCUCAAAAACUUUUGCACACUUAUGCUUUUAUGUAGUGACAAAGUUACAGUUGGGGGCAUCCGUGUCGUGUGGACACAUUUGUUUGAUUAAUGAUAAACAACUCAUCAUAGUGAUCUAACUAUAAAAUGUUCUUUACACGAUAAGAAAUACAUUGUAUUGUAUGCCUGCUAAUAUUGUGGUCUAAAAAUAAUAUCACUAAUACUGUUGUAGUUCAUUUAAACAUCAAGAUAUGUGAUGUUAACGUAUGUGUUCAUGUUAUGUUUGUAUUUGAUUUAUUUUUACAUGUUAAUGAAUAUUUUGGUGUUUAAAAUUCAAUCUAUAGUGAAUUAAUUAGUGACGUGUGCCAUUAAAUAUGUAGUGCUUUUUGCUUUUAUUUUGUUAAGUUGAAAAUCAUGUUUUUGAAUCUCUAUGUAUGAAAUGCACUAGUGAAUUUGGUUUGACACUUAUGCGAAGAUUAAUAAUAUAUUAACUUCAAAUACAUUGUUGAUCACAAACAGCAUGUAUAUGCAAUCCACACAUUACUGUUUCCAUAGCAACUGUUAACUUAAUGUAUUUUGUCUACUUAAUUUUAUCAAUCAUGGAACAAAAUUGAAUUGCUAAAUAAACAAAAUAAUGUCUGGCAGUACAGACACACAACACAAAUUGUAUCAUGAGGAGUUAUUCGUUUUAGCUGUACACAAUGUUCAAUUUCUGAAUACACACCUUUUUCCAGAAAAUGUGCAUAUAUUUAUGUAUAUAAUAAACAUGUUAAUGAUGUUCC